GAUGAACGCUAGCGGCAGGCUUAACACAUGCAAGUCGAGGGGCAGCGGGGAGUGGCAACACUCUGCCGGCGACCGGCGCACGGGUGAGUAACGCGUAUGCAACCUGCCCGCACCAGGGGGAUAACCGGGAGAAAUCCCGUCUAAUACCGCGUAACGCCUUGUGGGGGCAUCCCCAUGAGGCCAAAGGUUUUCCGGGAGCGGAUGGGCAUGCGUGACAUUAGCUAGUUGGCGGGGUAACGGCCCACCAAGGCGACGAUCAGUAGCCGACCUGAGAGGGUGAUCGGCCACAUUGGGACCGAGACACGGCCCAAACUCCUACGGGAGGCAGCAGUGGGGGAUAUUGCACAAUGGAGGAAACUCUGAUGCAGCGACGCCGCGUGAGUGAAGAAGUAUUUCGGUAUGUAAAGCUCUAUCAGCAGGGAAGAUAAUGACAGUACCUGACUAAGAAGCCCCGGCUAACUACGUG
rnacentral:rRNA from 1 species